GGUGGCAAGGACGGCCGAACGCGCGCCUGAAGGUCAGGUCUACCCCCUGAGCCCCGGAGCCCCAUCGUCCGGAAAAAUGCUUUCUAAUCGCUUUCGGAGCCGCUUUCUUUAACAAGGCCGGUGUUUGGCUCUCUGCCCCUUCGCCUUGGUUCCCGACUUGGAGCGCAGAAUUUUGGCACUGCAGGGGCUUGGCGCCGCGGAUGGUGUCCCCGGAUGGUGUCCCCGAGGCGGGGCAAAGCUCAGCCUGUGCAGUGUGGGGUGGUUUCCGCACCCCACUCCCUCGGCUCCCUCGCCUCCCCGUUUGGGGCGUUUGAGAAGUUUUGAACUUCCGGGGUUGGCUCGGCCAGGAUUGCGGUGGGGUGGGCGGCCGAGGGGCGUCGCUGUGCUCAGGGCUUGGGCGCGGCCCUUUAAACUUUUGUUUUUUUAAACUUGCGGGGGUGUGGUUGUGCGUUCGUCCUCUCUCCGCUGGUUGCUCCCUGGCCACCCGGUCCUUCCCCCCGCCCCUCCUUCCAGAUGCUGUGGAGUCAUGAGCCGGGAGGGCGCAGGGACCCCUCUGGUGGCCGAAGUGAUCAAAGAUCGCCUUUGUUUUGCCAUUCUCUACAGCAGACCAAAGAGUUCAUCAAAUAUACAUUAUUUCUGCAUAGAUAAUGAACUUGAAUAUGAAAACUUCUAUGCAGAUUUUGGACCACUCAAUCUAGCAAUGGUUUACAGAUACUGCUGCAAGAUAAAUAAGAAAUUGAAGUCCAUUACAAUGCUAAGAAAGAAAAUUAUUCAUUUUACUGGCCCUGAUCAGAGAAAACAGGCAAAUGCUGCUUUCCUUAUUGGAUGUUAUAUGGUUAUAUAUUUGGGGAAAACUCCAGAAGAAGCAUAUAGAAUAUUAAUGUUUGGAGAUACGUCCUAUAUUCCUUUCAGAGAUGCUGCCUAUGGGAGUUGCAAUUUCUACAUUACACUUCUCGACUGUUUUUAUGCAGUAAAGAAGGCAAUGCAGUAUGACUUCUUUAAUUUCAACUCAUUUAACCUUGAUGAAUAUGAAUACUAUGAAAAAGCAGAAAAUGGAGAUUUAAAUUGGAUCAUACCAGACCGAUUUCUUGCCUUCUGUGGACCUCAUUCAAGAACCAGACUUGAAAGUGGUUACCACCAACAUUCUCCUGAGGCUUAUAUUCCAUAUUUUAAGAAUCACAACGUUACUACCAUUAUUCGACUGAAUAAAAGGAUGUAUGAUGCCAAACGCUUUACAAAUGCUGGUUUCGACCACUAUGAUCUUUUCUUUGCGGAUGGCAGCACCCCGACCGAUGCCAUAGUCAAAGAAUUUCUGGAUAUUUGUGAAAAUGCCGAGGGUGCCAUUGCUGUGCACUGUAAAGCUGGCCUUGGACGAACAGGCACUUUGAUAGCCUGCUACAUCAUGAAGCAUUACAGGAUGACAGCAACUGAGACCAUUGCUUGGGUCAGAAUCUGCAGACCUGGCUCAGUUAUUGGGCCUCAGCAACAAUUUUUGAUGAUGAAACAGGCAAGCCUCUGGAUGGAAGGUGACUAUUUUCGUCAAAAGUUAAGGGGUCAGGAGAAUGGAAAACACAGAGCAGCUGUCUCAAAACUCCUCUUGGCUGUUGAUGACAUUUCAAUCAAUGGGGUCGAGAAUCAAGACAAGCAGGAACCUGAACUGUACAGUGAUGAUGACGAAAUCAAUGGAGUGACACAAGGUGAUAGACUUCGGGCUCUGAAAAGCAGAAGACAAUCCAAACCAAACGCUAUUCCCCUCACAUGUUCCCUAGCUGUGCUGACCUCUGCCCUGUGUAGUGUUGUCAUCUGGUGGAUUGUGUGUGACUACAUUCUCCCCAUCCUGCUGUUCUGUCUCGAUGGUUUAAGAACACAGUAGCAUCAGGACCCUUUGACAGAGUAAUUCUUCAGUCCAGUGUUCAGAGCUGUAAAACAUCUGAACCUAACAUUUCUGGCAGUGCAGGCAUUACUAAAAGAACCACCAGAUCUGCUUCAAGAAAAAGCAGUUUUAAAAGUCCGUCCAUUUCAAGGACUAAAACAGUCUUGCGUUAAGUAAAAAACCUGUGACCAGAACUGAAAGAAGACUCUAGGAACCAGAAAACUACAACAGGACUUAAGCACAAUUUAUUUGGAAAACCAAACAAAAUUUCAAAAGCCUUAGCUGCUUUCCACCUAAGACGAUUAUUCCAUGAAGAAAAUGUCCACUGGAAUUCGCAUAACUGCAUGAGUUUGGGUACAAGUGAAUGACUGGAGGAGGGCCCACCUCUUCUUUUUGUAGAAACGUCUGGAGUUUCACACCAGAAAGGCUGUUGUCUGUGCGUCUCAGGUGUAAAUAUCCAAGCCCUCUGUUAUCAGGAGAGCUGACUAGUCUCUGUGGUGCAUGUGUGUCCUUGUGAUGGCAAUCAUUUUAGCUGCUGGCCUUCAGAAGAACUGAAGAUCUGAUGGAGGUUUUUUUACUUAUUUAUUUGCUCUUCAUCCUGUGUCCAAAUUUAUACAGCUACAGCAAGCAUUACCGAAACGGUACACUCUGUAAUUUGGUACUAUUUGGUUUCGUCCCCUCCCCGUCCAUAUUUGUAAUAACUGUUACCAUUAACUCUGUUUAAGUACCCAAGCUGCUUGUCUUCCACCAAAGAGUGCUUUAUUAAGGAGAAUCUGUGAACACCACAUUUAGAGACUGUUGCAUGUUGCGUGAUACAAAGUAGUAUUUUGGUAACCUAAAACUUUGGCAAGCGAAUGUUCACAGUAGCUUUAGAAGACUCAGGAGGAGAAACUGGCUUCCGAGUUGGAAGAUUGUUGUUCUGUCGUUCCUUUUGAUGUCAUUUCGAGACUGAAGAAUGCCAAGGCUGCCCACUCUUUGGUUGUCCAGUCAUACAAAUUAAAAUCACAUUUGCUUCCAUGCAGGGAAACAACCCCACGCUGUUGGCCUUCCUCCUGGAAACAGUGAUCCCAAAUAAUGGUGACUUUUUAAAGCCAGUGACUUUGUUAGGGUCCCUCUCCUCUGUAGCACUGUGGAUUUUUUUUGUGGUGUGACCGAGGCCCUUCACAUGCCCUUUGAUUUCAGUGACAGUUAUUUGCAUCUGGAUUUCAGUUGUUUGUAAUUAAACUCACUGUUGCCUUGGGUUAGGGAAUACAACUAAUAAUUCUUUGCAGAGUGCCUUCUCCCCUCACCCCCACAGCAACACAGCAGAGCCUGUAAUGCAAAGCAGUCAUCACAAAGAGAAUUUAUUUGCUGCUGGAAAAAAAAAAUGGGGCCCCAAAUAAAAGAAUAUUUGCAGUCACCUUGGUUACUCCCGUAAGAAGCGAAUGGUUAGGUAAUUGUUAGAGAGUUUGCCUAUCCCGGUUUGGAGGAUGGCAGAAUGGGAGUUCCUGUCGUGGCUCAGUGGUUAACAGAACCCGACUAGCAUCCUUGAGGAUGCGGGUUUGGUCCCUGGCCUUGCUCAGUGGGUUAAGGAUCCGGAGUUGCUGUGAGCUGUGGUGUAGGCCUGCACAGGCGUGGCCCGGAUCCCAUGUUGCUGUGGCUGUGGUAUAGGCCUGCAGCUAUGGCUCCAAUUCAGCCCUUAGCCUGGAAACUUCCAUAUGCCAUGGGUGUGGCCCUAGAAAGACUAAAAUACAAUCAAAGGCAGAAUGCCUUCACAUUAUAGAGGAAUGAAUCAGGGCGGUAGCAAUUCCAUUUUUUAAAAGCUGCCUUUUUAAUACUGUUGUGAAGAAGAAGGAGCAGUUGGGAUAAACAGAUGAAGGUCUGUUAAUGCAACAAGCAAUUAGAACACGGUGGUUCAACUUUACUUUUUACUAUCUUGGAGAAAAUUACAAGAUUUCCUGGUUUGGAGGGGAGCUGGAAGAUGCCAUGGUUUUGGCCCAACAAGAGUAUGGAGUAGGGCCAGACCAGCUUUUAAACCGUGGGGAUUAGCUCUCAGAAAAACAGUGGUUUUCUAUCCCUGGAAGUUCCUAGGUACAAAGACCCACCUACCUGACGGUUGAGUGUGAAGGGAAGCAUUCCACCUGCUGUUGUUCUGGGAGAUAAUACUAAACAGUCAAGUUGUGCCCAGGCACAAAACAUUGAAUUCUCAGGGCAACUCCUCUUCCCUUUGUACUUUGAAAGGCCAUCAUCUCUUAGCGAAAUGAUCCAGUGAGGGGUGAAAACCAUCCUUGCUGGUUAAAAACAAGUCCGUGCUGCCUCUCUCACCAUGAAUAAGCCAUGUGGUGUCUCAGCCAAGAGUGAGAAAUUUGGGCUUCGGUGAACUUGGUGUUUGGCAAAUUGCCUUUUCCCGGGGCUGCUCAAGUUUCCAGCUAGAAUCGCUCUCACGGUGGCUCUUUCGAAAAAUCCUUGCAUUUGUCCCUGAAGUCAGUUCUAGCAAACUCUGUGAUUUGUGGAAGAAGCCUUCAUUGGCACACACAGCUUGGGAUUGUUAUUUCAGAUGGAUUGUAUAGCCCAGUGUUCAGCUUACUGGGGACACAUCCAGAAUCUAGGAAGUCUCUGGGUCUGAUUGAUGGAGAGUUCUUCCUGCCGUGAAUAAGAGUAGACACUCCACCCUGCUUCCCCAACCCCCCGCUCUGCUGAAACUUAAACACACCCAAGAAUCUUCUCAGAUUCCCAUUUCUAAUUUUUUUUUUUUUUUUUUGGUCUUAUGUUGUUUUAGGGCCACGCCCACGGCACAUGGAGGUUCCCAGGCUAGGGGUCCAGUUGGAGCUGUAGCUGCCGGCCUGCGCCACAGCCACAGGCCAUGUCUGUGACCUACACCACAGCUCAUGGCCACGCCGGAUCCUUAAUCCACUGAGCGGAGGCCAGGGAUUGAACCUGCAACCUCAGAGUUCCUAGUCGGAUUUGUUUCCGCUGCACUACAGUGGAAACGCCCUGUUUCUCAUUUGUUAUAGAAGAUCUUGUUGCUGUGGGAUAGGAAAACAGGGCAGGUCAGAUGAAAAGAUUUCUUUAAGAGCCUUAAAUAGCUUUGCAAGUACACCAAGACAGUUUCCAUUGGAAUUAAAAUUAGAAAUGAAUAUUUUUAGGAGCCCUUGACGCUUGCUGGGGACUCAGAUCCGCAAGAGUCAGGGACCGUCCAAAGGAAGAGUGUCUGCCAAACUGGGUCCUUAGAUGUACAGACAGACCUCCGUUUUGUAAUGCUAAAGAAGAUUGAGAAAUCUCUCUUAACCCGCAGUGAACAGGGGUGUGGCUCCUGAGCAGUGCCUCACUAAAACGAGUAGCCUUACUUGUCAAAAUGUAGCUGCCCCCAAGCGGCACGCUGCUCCUCUAGUCUCCAGAAUUUUUUCUUCUAAAUGUCACCCUCUCACCUGUCGCCACCCACGUCCUCCCCCCGCCCAUCUCCCCAUCUCACGGGGGGGUGAUUUCUACCUCUUGGGCCCAGACAAGUUUGAAGGAGUUCCCAGGUGUUCUCACAGGCUGAUGAGUUGGACCUUGGAGUUUGAUCCUUGGGCAUUCUGGGCAGCCUUGUGCCAAGCACUCCGGGAGCCUUUGCCUCACAGGCAGGAUGGCGCUCCGUUGAUCUUGGCUCCCCAAGUAGCACAGCGGCUUCUCUUCAGACAUUUCAGAAAGGUGGUUAUUGCAUUUUGGAAAGCCAUGCUCAUCGAAAACAACUUCGAAGACCUUUUCCUUCUUUAAUAGUUUUCUCCCACCGAGACCGUCCUUGAGGCCAGCUGCCGCUCUUCCAUUUCUCGGAUGUCUGCGCGUUCUCCACGUCUCUCAGUGGAAAUGCUGCAGAUACAUUUAAUCGACUGGAGAGCUCGCCUAUACUGUGUAGGAAAUUACUUCCUUAAUUGCCCAGUAGAAUUAACUGUCAGCAGAUAGGUUCAUCUGAUUCUAGUACUGCGGUUUUAUAUUAAUAAUUUGCAGACUUUUCUCUAACCUGCACUCAUGUACAAAUUAUGAGAAGUUUUAAAAUGUAACUGAUGAAUCAGUAUUUGAGCAAUCAUUGUCUUGAUUUUUUUUAAAUUAAAAUGUAUAUUUCUAAUCAUAUUUUAUAAAGCAGAGAGAACGGUUGAAUGCAUGUCUAUUUUCCAGGAGGUAUUUUUAAGAUAAAGCUUUAUAAUGGCCUGUAAACUUUGCAUAUCUAUGUAGUUUGAUACAUAUUAUUGUCACCUUUGAAAAUCUUGUGUAAAAUCUUGUGAAAAUCUGGUUUUAUACAAAAUGUUGAAUAGUGGAAAUUGUAUAAUUAUAAUCAUAUAAUUAAAAAUAUUAACCGAAA